rnacentral:rRNA from 1 species
UACGUAGGGGGCAAGCGUUGUCCGGAUUUACUGGGCGUAAAGAGCGUGUAGGCGGCCACGCAGGUCCGUUGUGAAAACUGGAGGCUCAACCUUCAGACGUCGACGGAAACCGUGUGGCUAGAGUCCGGAAGAGGAGAGUGGAAUUCCUGGUGUAGCGGUGAAAUGCGCAGAUAUCAGGAGGAACACCAAUGGCGAAGGCAGCUCUCUGGGACGGUACUGACGCUGAGACGCGAAAGCGUGGGGAGCGAACAGG